rnacentral:rRNA from 1 species
GGGCCCGCACAAGCGGUGGAGCAUGUGGUUUAAUUCGAUGAUACGCGAGGAACCUUACCAGGGCUUAAAUGUAGUGGGACAGGUCUAGAGAUAGACCCUUCUUCGGACUCAUUACAAGGUGUUGCAUGGUUGUCGUCAGCUCGUGCCGUGAGGUGUCAGGUUAAGUCCUAUAACGAGCGCAACCCUAUCGUUAGUUGCCAGCGGGUAAUGCCGGGAACUCUAGCGAAACUGCCGGUGCAAACCGAGAGGAAGGUGGGGAUGACGUCAAAUCAUCACGGCCCUUACGUCCUGGGCCACACACGUGCUACAAUGGCCGGUACAGAGAGCAGCCACUACGCGAGUAGGAGCGAAUCUACAAAACCGGUCUCAGUUCGGAUCGCAGUCUGCAACUCGACUGCGUGAAGCUGGAAUCGCUAGUAAUCGC